GCCGAUGUAGCUCAGUCAGGUAGAGCAGCGGACGGAUAAUCCGCGGUGUCGGUGGUUCGAUUCCACCCAUCGGUU
rnacentral:tRNA from 1 species